UUGGUGAAAUGGAAGAAUAUGGAACCUAAGAGACGACAUGGGAAAAUUAGGAGUUCUUAAAGGGUCAAUUUCCACAACUAGACCUUGAGGACAAGGUUGAUGUCAAGUAAGGGAGAGUUGUCAGGAACAGCACAAAGCGGAUGAAAGUAGGAUCCUUUUCUGUCAUUUACUUUCUUGUAUUUUCCUUUUGCCAAUUCUUUCAGAAUAACUGUUUUAGGCGCAUACGGGUAGGACAGACCAAGAAGCCAGCUUUCACGAUUUGUCCUAGUUGUAUUAUCCGGCCAGGCUGGUACUGGUACAAGUACUGUACCGAUGGAGGAACAUUGUAUGAGAAAAAUAUACAGAAAUUAUCCUAUCUUUCUCUCUAUAUUCCCUCUGUUUUCUCUCUACUCUCACCACUUUUCUCUAUUCUUCUCUACUCCCUCUAUUUCCUCUCGUCUUUUCUCUCUGCUUAUUCCUCUCUGCUUCUACAUCUCUGACAACCUCAGUAUCUGGGUCUAUUCUGGCCACCUCAUGAGUCAGUGGUCUGACAGGGUUUUCCAGCAAGAUGGUUACUUUAAUUAUGUAAACAAAAGAAAACUAGAGAGGAUAUACUAACAUAUAAGUUGGAGACAGUAUCCAUGGUGGACGUUUGGAAAGGCUCACGAGGCUAGACCCCUCACGGACCACAAAGAAAAGCCUUUACUAAGAAAGGGAGCCUCAGGAAAACUUGUCAAAAGACUUGACCCCCAAAGAGCUGACCCAAGCAAGGACAUUCCUCUAUUUCCUCUCGUCUUUUCUCUCUGAUUAUUCCUCUCUGCUUCUACAUCUCUGACAACCUCAGUAUCUGGGUC
rnacentral:lncRNA from 1 species